UUCCAUUACCAUUUAGUCCCCUUCGUCCUCCUCCCCCCAGUGAUCACCACACUGUUGUCUAUGAGUCCUUUUUCCUUUUUGCUCAGUUCCUGCACCCUCUAGCCAACUAGCUAUUAUCUGUCAUCCUUUUUUUUUAUGACCUUGACACUCUUGAAAAUUACUGGGUAGGUGUUUUGUAGGAAAUCCUCAAUCUGGGAUUACCUGAUGUUUUGUCAGAAUAGACCGGAGUUAGGGAAUUUGGGGAUGAAUCAUAUAAAGGUCAAGGGCCCUUCUCAUCACAUCAUAUCAAGGACACAUGCUAUAAUAUAUACACGAUUUAUCACUGGUGAUAUUAGCCCUAAUCAUUAGUUAAUGUAGUUUAUUUCAGAUUUCUUUCCUGUAAAGUUACUUUUUUUUUUAUGUUUUCACAUUUUGCUACUUGGAAGUGAAUGACUAAGUCUCACCCACACUCAAGGAGAGAGGAAUUAAGCUCUCCUUCCUGGAGUGGGGAGCAACUCAUUAUUACUUGUAAUUGUUCUGUUAGGAAAUAUUUGUCCCUUUUCUUCCAAUUAUUUUCUAGUUUAUUCAAUCAUUUGUAUCAGUAUAGAGUUAUAGAUGUUCAUUUUAUUCUUUAGGUUAUAAUCCAGUACUAUAAUUAUUUAUUUUGUUUCUCAAUUGUCCCAGUUUUGGCUACUGGGACCUAUUUCAGUUUAACACAGUGUCCUUUCCACAUGUCACCAUAUUUAAAAGCAUUUCUUUGUUUUCUGUCACUGCAAGAUGCUUCAGGUACAUCAUACGCAUUUCCUGCCUCAGCUUUAGAAUAAGUCAUUCUCCAAGGAGCCUGGUUUCCUUUAUUGGAGAAUUGUAUUAGAAACCAAGGCCUCCCAGUGGUCAGUGCCAGAGAAUUCACACGUGUUUUGUAUUAACCCACAUAUAUACCAUAAGAAGACUUUAAGUAAAUAAGAAUACAAAUAGGUUGUUACAAAUGCCACGAAGACAAAUGUCAUAUUCUAUGAUGGAAUUAUAGGUGUGCCUUAAUACAAAUGGUGUGAGGUAGAGGUCAGGGUGGUCUUCUCUGCAGCAAGAAAAUGUAAGCCAAAAUUUAUUGACUGAAUAGGAAUUAACCAGGUGAAAGGACAAGGAGACAGAGUUUCAGGUAGAAGGAGCAGCAUUUUAAGAAGAACCAAGUAAAAAGAGCUCAAUGUAUUAGAAUAACUAGAAGUGGUCCAUCCUGGUGGCAGCAGAGUGAUCCAGAGGAAAUGAGGACUGCAGAUGGGCAGAGGCUGGAUCACAGAGGGCCUUGAAACCGUGUUCCUAGUGUUGUCUCCAAUCAACUCUUCCUGUUUUGAACUGACAGUGGGCCCAGGCAGAAUUUCAAUACGAAUUGUCACAGGGAGAGACCACCUGUAGCACCUACUUUUUAGUUUAUUUCAAAGUCAGAAGCACAAAUGGUCGUAAGGACUCCAAGAGCAAGAGAGAUGUGAAUUGUGAUUGCAAAAGGACUCCAAGAAACUAUCCAUUCCCCUCACUUGUUUAUCCUGAUCCAUGCCCUAGAAGGAUGACCCUGCAAACUGCAUCACCAGGCUCUCUUUGCCUUUGGCUUCCUGUUCAGUUUUGCCAACAAGAAAUAACGUCUCUCCACUGCCUCAAUGCCAAGAGUCUAAGGGAAGCUCUUUGUUUUGUGACUACAGCUCCCGGUGGGCAACUGCCUUCCCUAAUGCCAGUUCUCACCAAGCUCCAAGACUACUGCCUCACCUUGCUCCUUUGGGCAUAAAGGAGUAAAAGCUUCUUGAUGUUUGCUAUCCCUAGAUGCCUCAGGAUCAUUUUUUGGUUUCCUCAUCUGUAUUCAUAAUUCUUAUAAAUAGUUCCGUCAUUAAUUCUCAUCAGAAUCCAUUGUGAGCAUGUACUCUUUCUGGCCAGGGCCCUGAGUGAUACAAUAAAUAUUUAUAACAAGGUGGGAAAAGGAAGAGAAUAGAGUCCCAUUUUGGGGGUGCAAAAGGCCAUCCACAGAGCCAGAUACUCUUGACAAUAGAUAUUCAAUAAAAGUAAAUAAAUCUAAAGUAUGGGGUAUGAGACAGGAUAAGUGAGAGCAGAUUUCACAACAAUCUGAGACAUGGACCAAAUUCUUUUUAUCAGAUGACUCUUUCUCCAAUAUAGAAUAUAAACAGAAGCGAGGGGGCAAAUCAGCAGUAUUAAUCAGCUCCCUUAGCUUGAAAAACAACAAAAUCCUAUCAUUUAUAAAGAUGUAAAAUAUUGUUCUAGGUUUUACUAAAAUUCAUAGAAAAAUGGUGUAGCAAAGAGCUUUUUCUUUGUGCCACUUUAGGCCUGGGUGUAGGGUGGAGAUAAGCAGGCAUAACAUCAUUAAUAGAAUGACUAAUUCUCACCUGCCUAACCAUUUGUGGAAUGAUUAAGAACUUCCAAAUAAUGUGCUAUCAGAAAUGAAUUAAUUGGCCUCCUUUUCACAAAAGAGAAUCAACUUUAUGAAUGACUUAAACAACAGAGAGAGUAACUAGUGCCCACAAAGUAUAUUGUUGUGAAUUGUGCCCAUAGGCACAAUUCAAGGUUUAUGGGCAUUCAGCAAAUUCUGUUGUUGUUCCUAGAAACCACCAAAGUCAGAUUAUUCCACAUGCUCCUUUUAUAAGCAUCUUACUUGUUACUGUGGUCAGGAAAGACACCCUUCCUCAGACUGUCUUUAUUGGAGGAGACUCUGUUGUUUUUUUUUCUUUUGACAUGUGAUUUUACAGAAGAGGAGAGUUGUCUUAGAUCCAUUGUGGAUACGUUGUGCCCAUAAUCAGACAGAUCUUAUAUAAAUAACCACAGC